rnacentral:rRNA from 1 species
AGUGAACGCUGGCGGUAGGCCUAACACAUGCAAGUCGAACGGCAGCACAGUAAGAGCUUGCUCUUACGGGUGGCGAGUGGCGGACGGGUGAGGAAUACAUCGGAAUCUACUUUUUCGUGGGGGAUAACGUAGGGAAACUUACGCUAAUACCGCAUACGACCUACGGGUGAAAGCAGGGGAUCUUCGGACCUUGCGCGAUUGAAUGAGCCGAUGUCGGAUUAGCUAGUUGGCGGGGUAAAGGCCCACCAAGGCGACGAUCCGUAGCUGGUCUGAGAGGAUGAUCAGCCACACUGGAACUGAGACACGGUCCAGACUCCUACGGGAGGCAGCAGUGGGGAAUAUUGGACAAUGGGCGCAAGCCUGAUCCAGCCAUACCGCGUGGGUGAAGAAGGCCUUCGGGUCGUAAAGCCCUUUGUUGGGAAAGAAAAGCAGCAGGUUAAUACCCCGCUGUUCUGACGGUACCCAAAGAAUAAGCACCGGCUAACUUCGUG